AUUCCUGGGGUGUUCGCCAGCCUGCAUAUUUUGAUCCUACAUUAUUCGAUCGGGAUUCCUAUAUCUUUAUACUGAUGUCAGGCCUCCUUAGUCAGUGGAAGGCAGAUGUAUAUUUGCGGUUACCCACCUAGCUUUGCUAGGAGUCGAAAAAAGCAGGUAACGGCACUUUGGGAA
rnacentral:other from 1 species